GAUGAACGCUGGCGGCGUGCCUAAUACAUGCAAGUCGAGCGAACGGACGAGAAGCUUGCGUCUCUGAUGUUAGCGGCGGACGGGUGAGUAACACGUGGAUAACCUACCUAUAAGACUGGGAUAACUUCGGGAAACCGGAGCUAAUACCGGAUAAUAUUUUGAACCGCAUGGGUCAAAAGUGAAAGACGGUCUUGCUGUCACUUAUAGAUGGAUCCGCGCUGCAUUAGCUAGUUGGUAAGGUAACGGCUUACCAAGGCAACGAUGCAUAGCCGACCUGAGAGGGUGAUCGGCCACACUGGAACUGAGACACGGUCCAGACUCCUACGGGAGGCAGCAGUAGGGAAUCUUCCGCAAUGGGCGAAAGCCUGACGGAGCAACGCCGCGUGAGUGAUGAAGGUCUUCGGAUCGUAAAACUCUGUUAUUAGGGAAGAACAUAUGUGUAAGUAACUGUGCACAUCUUGACGGUACCUAAUCAGAAAGCCACGGCUAACUACGU
rnacentral:rRNA from 1 species